AGUAAAGUCAGCUAAAAAAGCUUUUGGGCCCAUACCCCAAACAUGUCGGUUAGAAUCCCUCCUUCACUA
rnacentral:tRNA from 1 species